ACAGUUCCGUAGUGAACCUGCGGAAGGAUCAUU
rnacentral:rRNA from 1 species